UUGAACUCAAUUGGAAAGAGGAGUGGCGGACGGGUGAGUAACACGUGGGUAACCUACCCAUCAGAGGGGGAUAACACUUGGAAACAGGUGCUAAUACCGCAUAACAGUUUAUGCCGCAUGGCAUAAGAGUGAAAGGCGCUUUCGGGUGUCGCUGAUGGAUGGACCCGCGGUGCAUUAGCUAGUUGGUGAGGUAACGGCUCACCAAGGCCACGAUGCAUAGCCGACCUGAGAGGGUGAUCGGCCACACUGGGACUGAGACACGGCCCAGACUCCUACGGGAGGCAGCAGUAGGGAAUCUUCGGCAAUGGACGAAAGUCUGACCGAGCAACGCCGCGUGAGUGAAGAAGGUUUUCGGAUCGUAAAACUCUGUUGUUAGAGAAGAACAAGGACGUUAGUAACUGAACGUCCCCUGACGGUAUCUAACCAGAAAGCCACGGCUAACUACGUGCCAGCAGCCGCGGUAAUACGUAGGUGGCAAGCGUUGUCCGGAUUUAUUGGGCGUAAAGCGAGCGCAGGCGGUUUCUUAAGUCUGAUGUGAAAGCCCCCGGCUCAACCGGGGAGGGUCAUUGGAAACUGGGAGACUUGAGUGCAGAAGAGGAGAGUGGAAUUCCAUGUGUAGCGGUGAAAUGCGUAGAUAUAUGGAGGAACACCAGUGGCGAAG
rnacentral:rRNA from 1 species